rnacentral:rRNA from 1 species
UACGUAGGGUGCGAGCGUUGUCCGGAAUUAUUGGGCGUAAAGAGCUUGUAGGCGGUUUGUCGCGUCUGCUGUGAAAUUUCGGGGCUCAACCCCGAACUUGCAGUGGGUACGGGCAGACUAGAGUGUGGUAGGGGGAGACUGGAAUUCCUGGUGUAGCGGUGAAAUGCGCAGAUAUCAGGAGGAACACCUGUGGUGUAGACAGCUUACUGGACCAUUUCUGACGCUGAGACACGAAAGCGUGGGUAGCAAACAGG